AACCAUCGGCCGGGAAUCGAACCCGGGGCGCCCGCGUGGCAGGCGAGCAUUCUACUACUGAACCAAAGGCAAACGGU
rnacentral:tRNA from 1 species